GAUGAACGCUGACAGAAUGCUUAACACAUGCAAGUCAACUGUGGCGGACGGGUGAGUAACGCGUAAAGAACUUGCCUCCCAGUUAGGGACAACCUUUUGAAACGAAUGCUAAUACCUGAUACUGUGAGAGAGCUUUGCGUCCCAUUUGCUAGUUGGAGAGGUAACGGCUCACCAAGGCGAUGCUGGGUAGCCGGCCUGAGAGGGUGAUCGGCCACAAGGGGACUGAGACACAGCCCUUACUCAUACGGGAGGCAGCAGUGGAGAAUAUUGGACAAAGGACCAAAGUCUGAUACAGCAAUUCUGUGGGAAAGAUGAAGUUUUAGGAAGGUAAAGUGCUUUCAGAUGGGAAGCGGUACCGACAGAAGAAGAGACGGCUAAAUACGUGCCAGCAGCCGCGUAAUUC
rnacentral:rRNA from 1 species